rnacentral:rRNA from 1 species
AUGAGUUGCCUUAGCUGGAAUUGUCGGGGGCUUGGGAACCCGUCGACAGUUCGAGAGCUUCGCAAUGUUGUGAAGCAAGAAGCGCCCUGUCUCUUGUCUCUUAUGGAGACAAAGAUUGCAGCAAAGCGUGUGGAACUAUUUCAGAAAACUUUAGGCUUUGCUGGGUGUUUUGCGGUUGAUAGUAGUGGACUAAGUGGCGGGAUUGGUUUGUUUGGUCGGCGGAUGUGCAAUUCGAGCUAA